rnacentral:rRNA from 1 species
UAUCUCUGUAGAGUCUGCAUAUCAAUAAGCGGAGGAAAAGAAACUAACAUAGGAUUCCCUUAGUAACGGCGAGUGAAGCGGGAAGAGCUCAAAUUUGAAAUCUUCAAGGUUCUACCUUGACGAAUUGUAGUUUAAAGAAGUGUUUUCUGUUAGAUGAGUAGCAAAAGUUCCUUGGAAUGGGACAUCAUAGAGGGUGAGAAUCCCGUAUUUGGUUAUUCAUUCUAGCUUUGUGAUACACUUUCAAAGAGUCGGAUUGUUUGGGAAUGCAGUCCAAAAUGGGUGGUAAAUUUCAUCUAAAGCUAAAUAUUGGCGAGAGACCGAUAGCGAACAAGUACCGUGAGGGAAAGAUGAAAAGAACUUUGAAAAGAGAGUUAAACAGUACGUGAAAUUGUCAAAAGGGAAGCGUUUGACACCAGUGUUGUUUUUCCGAAAAUCAAUUACGAAUGGCUUGAUUCUGUGUUGUAUUGACCUUAUCAGCUUUCUGCACUUUUUUCGAGUCUUUCUUAAUGCACUUUUCGGUUAACAAGUCAACAUCAAUUUCUUUUGUUGUAAAAGAGUCAUUCGGAAGGUGGCUUUCUUUUCGGAGAAAGUGUUUAUAGCCUUAUGCCUCUACAAUCGGAGAGAUUGAGGUCUGCAGCGUAGAUCCUUCGGGGUUAGAUACAUUUGUGCUAAGUUGAUAGCCUUUCAUAGACAACUUGUUGACUAUGAUUCAGUCAUGUAGGCUUACUCGCUUAGUGCUAUUUUACCUACGCUUAGGAUGUUGACGAGACUGUCGAUCUC